GAUGUUUCUAAACCAGCAGGCCAGUCCUUAAAAGUGUACUGGCUGGAAUAGUUGACAUAAUCGCUAUCUCACUUGUGCAAUUGUACUAUGUGUACCGAUGUGAUUGGCUGAUGCAGGUAGGCGGUCCACAACCAACCGUAUAAGAUCGGCUCGUCUUCAUCUGAACGAUGCGUGUUGGAGAAGUAAGACCAAAGACAAGAUGUUUUCUGUUCAACCUUUGAUCGUUGCCGCUCUUCUGACACAGCUGGGCCUUGUUGUGGGGUCUUGUGGAAAGGGUAAGUACUUUUAGUUAGUGGUCGGUUUAAAUAUCUGUAAAUGUAGUUUUUAAAAAGCUAUAAACGUCCAAGAAAGUACUGAACUAUUCUAGGAAUCUGAUCCAUACUGAAAUAAUAUGGAAGGAUAAUAAUGUAUUCAACAAAGCCAUGUUAUAAAAUACUUGGUAUAACCUGCUCAGAUAUGGACAGCUCUUACACACUGUUCAGUUGUUUAUGUUCACAUUUUAUUUUGAGUUGAUCGUCUCAUAUUAUAAGAUAAGCUAAAGAAGGUUGAUUUGUAAUAACUGAGGCGGACAUACACCCCUACAAAGUUCCAAUAAAUAUUGAUGUUAUUGUUUUGGUCCUGCAGGCGAUCUCCCUGAUAGCCACUUGACUAAAGAAGCCCACCCAGAACUAUAUGCAGCGAAGGUUGUUUAUGCUGAGGUGGUGAACAAACCGCUGGGGGACCGGCAAUUUAAAUUCGGAUGGAUCAGCCACUCCGGAGUGCUGCUGACGGUGGAAGUAAAGUUGUUGACCCAUAAGAUAGGCUGUGGAGCCGUACUGCAGGACCCAGCAGUGAUGGAAGGUGUGAAGUGGGAGAGAAUCUCCGAAAGGGAAUGUUUUAAGGGAGCAACUGUUGGUGACCUCCUGGAGGCUGGGGGCAGCGGCUACAAUGUCGCCAUCGAUAACUGUCACCAAUAUAAAAAUAUGGUUGACAAAAAAAUAAAGCGAACCAUGGGGAAGGAGUAAAACCUACUCAUCAAACGUUUUCAUGUAUAGAUGAAUAUACUUAUGAUUUUCCCAGAGUCCAUCGAGUAUCAGAUAAGAAAAAUAAAAAAAUACAUUCAUUAAUCGUGUUUGUUUCAUUUUUGUAAAAUCCUAAAUAA
ensembl:lncRNA